rnacentral:rRNA from 1 species
AUCACAUGGUUCAAAAGGGAAAGGAGCAAUCCGCUGAUAGAUGGGCUUGCGUCUGAUUAGCUAGUUGGUGGGGUAACGGCCUACCAAGGCGACGAUCAGUAGCCGAACUGAGAGGUUGAACGGCCACAUUGGGACUGAGAUACGGCCCAGACUCCUACGGGAGGCAGCAGUCGGGAAUAUUGCGCAAUGGAGGAAACUCUGACGCAGUGACGCCGCGUGCAGGAAGAAGGUUUUCGGAUUGUAAACUGCUUUAGACAGGGAAGAACAAAGACAGUACCUGUAGAAUAAGCUCCGGCUAACUACGUGCCAGCAGCCGCGGUAAUACGUAGGGAGCGAGCGUUAUCCGGAUUUAUUGGGUGUAAAGGGUGCGUAGACGGGAAGUCAAGUUAGUUGUGAAAUCCCUCGGCUUAACUGAGGAACUGCAACUAAAACUGAUUUUCUUGAGUACUGGAGAGGAAAGUGGAAUUCCUAGUGUAGCGGUGAAAUGCGUAGAUAUUAGGAGGAACACCGGUGGCGAAGGCGACUUUCUGGACAGAAACUGACGUUGAGGCACGAAAGUGUGGGGAGUAAACAAGAGUAGAUACCCUGGUAGUCCACACCGUA